GUUUAAGCCGCCGCGGUAAUACGUAGGUGGCAAGCGUUGUCCGGAAUUAUUGGGCGUAAAGCGCGCGCAGGCGGUCCUUUAAGUCUGAUGUGAAAGCCCACGGCUCAACCGUGGAGGGUCAUUGGAAACUGGGGGACUUGAGUGCAGAAGAGGAGAGUGGAAUUCCACGUGUAGCGGUGAAAUGCGUAGAGAUGUGGAGGAACACCAGUGGCGAAGGCGACUCUCUGGUCUGUAACUGACGCUGAGGCGCGAAAGCGUGGGGAGCAAACAGGAUUAGAAACCCUUGUAGUCC
rnacentral:rRNA from 1 species